rnacentral:rRNA from 1 species
ACGGAGAGUUUGAUCCUGGCUCAGGACGAACGCUGGCGGCGUGCUUAACACAUGCAAGUCGAGCGGUAAGGCUCCUUCGGGGGUACACGAGCGGCGAACGGGUGAGUAACACGUGAGUAAUCUGCCCUUCACUUCGGGAUAAGCCUCGGAAACGGGGUCUAAUACCGGAUACGACACUCCUUCGCAUGAGGUGGGUGUGGAAAGUUUUUCGGUGGGGGAUGUGC